AUUGAACUCUGGCGGCAGGCCUAACACAUGCAAGUCGAGCGAGCGGCGGACGGGUGAGUAAUGUCUGGGAAACUGCCUGAUGGAGGGGGAUAACUACUGGAAACGGUAGCUAAUACCGCAUACCAUCAGAUGUGCCCAGAUGGGAUUAGCUAGUAGGUUGGGUAACGGCUCACCUAGGCGACGAUCCCUAGCUGGUCUGAGAGGAUGACCAGCCACACUGGAACGGAGAAACGGUCAAGACUCCGACGGGAGGCAGCAGUGGGGAAUAUUGCACAAUGGGCGCAAGCCUGAUGAAGCCAUGCCGCGUGUGUGAAGAAGGCCUUCGGGUUGUAAAGCACUUUCAGCGGGGAGGCGUUACCCGAAGAAGAAGCACCGGAUAUCUCCGUGCCAGAAGGCGAGGUAAUAC
rnacentral:rRNA from 1 species